CCUACGGGGGGCAGCAGUGGGGAAUAUUGCGCAAUGGGCGAAAGCCUGACGCAGCGACGCCGCGUGAGGGAUGAAGGUCUUCGGAUCGUAAACCUCUGUCAGCAGGGAAGAACGGUCACUGUGCUAAUCAGCAGUGAAUUGACGGUACCUGCAAAGGAAGCACCGGCUAACUCCGUGCCAGCAGCCGCGGUAAUACGGAGGGUGCGAGCGUUAAUCGGAAUUACUGGGCGUAAAGCGCUCGUAGGCGGUAUGUCAAGUCAAGGGUGAAAUCCCCGCGCUCAACGUGGGAACUGCCUUUGAAACGGGCAAACUGGAGUGUGUGAGAGGAUAGUGGAAUUCCAGGUGUAGGAGUGAAAUCCGUAGAUAUCUGGAGGAACAUCAGUGGCGAAGGCGACUAUCUGGAACAUAACUGACGCUGAGGAGCGAAAGCGUGGGUAGCAAACAGGAUUAGAUACCCUAGUAGUC
rnacentral:rRNA from 1 species